GGCGUAUAAAGCUAUUUAUUGCCGGGUAAUGCGACGGAAUCAUAAUCCGCAGGUCCGGGGUUCGAGUCCCUGAUUCGCCACCA
rnacentral:tRNA from 1 species